rnacentral:lncRNA from 1 species
CUUGGGAGCACAUAGAAGGGAAUUGUGAAAAGCAGCUAGGGAGUUUCUGGACAGAUCAUACAGAAGUGUGCACUGGGCUAAGAGGGUUGGGGAAAAAGGGUCUUCAGAUAAGCAUGUGUGGACACACAGGAGGUGCUGCCCUGGGGCUGCCAGUGUGGCUGUGCAGAGGGCUCUCUAGCUCACCCCUUUAACAGCUUCAACCGACACUCAUCUUUCUUACAGAGCCAGAAUUUGAUUUUGAAGACUUUCCUUUCUUAACAUCAAAAAAUAUAACUGAAAUGGACUAAGAUACAGCCAUCAUAUGAAUAUGGGUUUCAGAUGUACAACAAGACAUGGAAAAACUGACAGUGUGAACAGUGAAGAAAAAGGAAGAAAUCCACUUUGGAUCAUGGUUUAGAAGAAAUAUGGGGUCCAAAAAAGGGUUUCUUUUUUGAAUCUGCCAUGCUAUGAAGCCUUUUCUGUUUGAGCAUACUGGCACAUGAAAUUUGCAAAGCAUUUUUCUCUUGGAUUAAGGACGUGAAAAUCAGUUUUACUGGAAAGAUGAUGGACUCUCAUCUGAGAUUGCCCCCUGGAGGACAUAGGGAGCAACCAGACAGCAUCUGCUUCCUGCUCCAGGGAGGAUCAACAUUAAUUAAUGCAACAGAGCAGCUGGUUCUCUCUGAGCUACUGAUUUGGAUUCAGCUGCAGUGAUUAUUUCUUUGUGCAUCAUUUGGCUUUGUGCAUCAUUUGACUCCUCAAAAGAUCACACAUUGUUAUGUUUUACAUCUAGACUGUCUCACAAAAGUCCCAUAAGUUCAGAGGUGGGACUUUUGGAUGGUGACUGGAUCAUGGAGGUGCUGUGCUCUUCAGAGCAUUGAGCACACUCUCACACAAAUGCUUGUGGAUGGACUAUGUGAAAUUGAACCAGAACUUCAGGAAUGAAGAAGUGAAGUCAGAAGAACUAGUAAGCUGGAAACCAAAGGCAGAGAGAAAUACAAUCAAGGAAAUAUUAAACUCAGAUAUAGACAAAUAUCACAUGGUUGAAAAUACAGGACAGUUUAUCAAGAAAAAUCCCAUGUAUGAGAACCAUUGGCUAAAGGCAGAAGUUGCUGGGAAACAAAAGACAGAGGGGGAUGUACUACACUGACUGCAGUUCAUUAGGAAAUUGAGGACAGGAGCACAACUUGGAUGGAAACAAGGAUUAACAGUGAUGGAGCUGCAGUCCCUUGCGCCUGAGAGAAUAUCAACGCAACACAACUCCAUUUAAAGUUAAGCCUCACAGACUUUCACAGGUGCAGAGCCUUCUGUUUACAAGGCAGUGAAGAUAACAUAGUUGCAAACUCACAUGGGAUACGGCUGUCUGUCCGGCAUUAACUGAGAGGACUCCCAAGGGGGAAAGGAAAGGUGACCACCCGGAAUUACUUGACUUGAC